GACGAAGGAUGCAAGCGUUAUCCGGAUUCAUUGGGUUUAAAGGGAGCGUAGGCGGCCCUAUAAGUCAGUGGUGAAAUCUCUCGGCUUAACCGAGAAAUUGCCAUUGAUACUGUAGGGCUUGAGUACAGUUGCCGUUGGCGGAAUAUGACAUGUAGUGGUGAAAUACAUAGAGAUGACAUAGAACACCGAUUGCGAAGGCAGCUAACGAAGCUGUAACUGACGCUGAGGCUCGAAAGUGCGGGGAUCAAACAGG
rnacentral:rRNA from 1 species